AACGUAGGACACAAGCGUUAUCCGGAAUUACUGGGCGUAAAGGGAGUGCAGGCGGUUGCGUAAGUUAGGCGUGAAAGACUUCGGCUAAACCGGGGGAGGUCGUCUGAUACUGCGUAACUAGAGUGUGGUAGAGGCGUGUAGAAUUCCGGGUGUAGUGGUGAAAUGCGUAGAGAUCCGGAGGAAUACCAGUGGCGAAGGCGGCACGCUGGGCCAUAACUGACGCUAAGGAGCGAAAGCCAGGGGAGCAAACGGG
rnacentral:rRNA from 1 species